ensembl:snRNA U4 U4 spliceosomal RNA
AGCUUUGCCCAGUGGCAGUAUCGUAGCCAGUGAGGUUUAUCCGAGGUGUGAUUAUUGCUAAUUGAAAAUAGAAAUUGCUUC